rnacentral:rRNA from 1 species
UCGGGGAAGCCUUUCGGGGCAGGAAGACAGGUGGUGCAUGGUUGUCGUCAGCUCAUGUCGUGAGAUGUUGGGUUAAGUCCCGCAACGAGCGCAACCCUUAUUGUUAGUUGCUACCAUUUAGUUGAGCACUCUAGCGAGACUGCCCGGGUUAACCGGGAGGAAGGUGGGGAUGACGCCAAAUCAUCAUGCCCCUUAUGUCUAGGGCUACACACGUGCUACAACGGCUGGUACAGAGAGAUGCUAAACCGCGAGGUGGAGCCAAACUUUAAAACCAGUCUCAGUUCGGAUUGUAGGCCGAAACUCGCCUACAUGAAGCUGGAGUUGCUAGUAAUCGCGAAUCAGAAUGUCGCGGUGAAUACGUUCCCGGGCCU